UAGUGCCUACGGGACGCAGCAGUGGGGAAUAUUGCACAAUGGGCGCAAGCCUGAUGCAGCAACGCCGCGUGAGCGAAGAAGGUCUUCGGAUCGUAAAGCUCUGUCCUUGAGGAAGAAGGAAGUGACGGUACUCAAGGGGGAAGCCCCGGCUAACUACGUGCCAGCAGCCGCGGUAAUACGUAGGGGGCAAGCGUUAUCCGGAAUUAUUGGGCGUAAAGAGUACGUAGGUGGUUUUGUAAGCGCGGGGUGAAAGGCAGUGGCUUAACCAUUGUAAGCCUUGCGAACUGCAAGACGUGAGUGCAGGG
rnacentral:rRNA from 1 species